GGAGAGUGUAAGGAGUGCGACCACUGCAGAUCGGAGGAGAGCAAUAUGUGCAGCCUGCUGAGGAUCAACCCUGACCGGGGUGUGAUGAUCGGGGACGGGAAGGCGAGGUUCUCCAUCAACGGGAAGCCCAUCUACCACUUUCUCGGCACCUCCACUUUCAGCGAGUACACGGUGGUGCACGUGGGCUGCCUGGCGAAGAUAAACCCGCUGGCCCCCCUGGAAACGGUCUGCGUGCUCAGCUGCGGGAUCUCCACAGGUACGGCCUUCUUCUUCUUCUGCUCGACUUCUCGAGUUUUAAAAAAGAAAAGCACCAUCUUCUUCAUAUCAAGCAUAGCAUCCAAUUUUGGGAAUCAGAUCUUUUCUUAAUAUAACAUACAUUUUUUUUGAAUUUUUCGAAGGCUUCGGCGCGACGGUGAAUGUGGCCAAGCCAAAGAAGGGAUCGUCAGUUGCUGUAUUCGGAUUGGGAGCCGUGGGCCUUGCCGUGAGUGUCUGGCUCUGUUUCUCUCUGUGUUACUCUGCAGAAUGGAUGAUGAUAUGUUAGAAUGGUAAUAGGCUGCGGAGGGGGCGAGGGUCUCAGGAGCUUCCAGGAUCAUCGGUGUGGACUUGAAUUCGGACAGAUUCGAGCAAGGUAUGUGUCCAUUCUUUUCGAAUCAAUGGGACUCCGGCUGAUGAGAUCGACAACAGAGUUUAAGAGAUUUCCAUUGCUUUUUAUCACCAGCUAAGAAGUUCGGUGUGACGGAGUUUGUGAACCCAAAAGAUUACGACAGACCCGUUCAAGAGGUAUGUUUUCAUUUCCACACAAUUUUACAUUUACGAGUUUAGCAUCAAACCGUUGGCUGCGGUUUCUAAAGUGUGAGUUUUUUUGUCUGUGGUGAACAGGUGAUCGCCGAGAUGACCGGCGGCGGAGUAGACCGCAGCGUGGAGUGCACGGGCAACAUCAAUGCCAUGAUUUCCGCAUUCGAAUGCGUCCACGAUGUACUUUCCCUUGAUAUCUCUCGAUUGCUGAGGUUUCAUAAACGGCAAUCUAACCUUAGUUCACGAUCUUUAACUAAUCUGGUUGAGGUCACGGUCACAGGGCUGGGGUGUCGCUGUGUUAGUCGGUGUGCCACACAAGGAUGACGUGUUUAAGACAUCACCAGUAAAUUUCCUGACUGAGCGGACCCUCAAGGGCACCUUCUAUGGGAACUAUAAACCUCGCAGUGAUAUCCCCGGUGUGGUGGAGAAGUACCUGAACAAGGUAAGAGAGCUCGGUUUCUCCUUGCCGCAUUAGUUGUGAGUGAGAUUGAGUUAUCGUGAAAGUCGGUGUUCGCUAAAAAACGCGGGUGUGCUUCUAUGUUUGUUUGAUGGUGCAGGAGAUGGAGCUGGAGAAGUUCAUCACCCACGAGGUUCCCUUCUCCGAGAUCAACAAGGCGUUCGAUUUAAUGCUCAGAGGAGAAGGCCUGCGCUGCCUCAUUCGUAUGGAAAACUGAGUUGUACUUUGCCAGCCGACUCCUACGGGUGAAGGCGAACCGCUGAUGAGAUGUACUGAAAAUCCCAAUAACUGUGGCUCCUAUCUAGUGCCCAAUGUCGCUUUCUUGACAAAAUAUUAAUGCGUGCGGUUGGCUAGACCGGCUAAGAUGUAGUAUAGUUGUUCUCUGGUGUGCGAGUCCACGUGACUAUGUAAACGGAGCUUUUUUUUCAAGAUAGUGCAAGUCUUCGAGUCUUGAUGUGUCCGGCCGCGUCGCGGAUUGCUGCCGCGUUGUUGAUUUCUACACGUGCCGAAGGAUCUUCGGAUGCUGAUCUUCGUCAAAGUCCCAGUCGGAAAUGGACGUUAGCGAUAUCCUCCGCCUCCUCUGUAAUAAAAUAUCUCGGCAAGAUAGCCAUUGAGGAGAGAACUACAUCGUUUUCUCUGUCGAGGAACGCUACGUGAAGGAGCCGGCAUCGGUGAUUCCGGUUUUGGGGUGCGGCGACGGCGUUAUCAUAAACACCAGGAAGGAGAUGUCGUCCGGUGUCUUUGGGCGAUAAUUCUACUCUCUAGAUGGGAGGCUCCGGUUGCAAAUGAAGUAGCUCUGGUCCGAACUGUGAUGGGCUCGUUUUUUCCUUCGGCAGAAGGGCUUCCAAACUUUGGAAAUAGCGACUGAGGAUGCAAGAUCGAUGUUUAUCAUUCGACUACCUGAAUUUUAUAUUUUUUUCAAAGGAAUUUUAUCUUGCUUCAAAUUGAGCCGAAGCCAAUACGUUAAAACCCUUAAAAAAUUUCCGUUCGUUUAUUUUUUGAGAUUCUAAGUUGGCCGUUCGUCAAAGCUGUGAUUUUGUGAAUUAUCUCUUUAUUUUGUGUUAUUUGAGUAAAUAAAAACCUAUGGGUAUUGGAGUUUGUGGAUAAUGAUCUAAUGGGCUCUUAUAUAGUACAUGGAUCCGCCUCCACGGUGAGUUAGCGGAGGGGUCCACGGGUCAGAACGUUUUUGUUGAGGGGUCUCAAGUGGGAUACGGCGCCCUUAAAAGAAAGUCUUUUAGGGACAUAAUUGUCUUUUGUCCCUAUCGGGUGUGUCCCGGAAACAUUGUGUGCUGUCACGUCGAGGGCUGAGUGUCGAGCUAUAAGAUGAUUUUCGCUCUUAAAGGAAGAACUUGUGUGACCAUUGACAUAUGAGGAUGUCUGACCUACGUAUAUUUGGUGUAUGCUCUUUCAUCUCUUGCCUAUCUCAUCUCUCUAUCUCUCGUGGAUGGAUUCUCAUGUGCGAUUGUCAAAAUACCAAGGUCCUAAUUUGAUAUAAUUUUUAUGAAGUCUGCAAGUAUAUUUUUUAGGUGUUUAUAUUUAGGUGAACCCUUUAAAACCAAAAUAAUUGUUAACUCAAAGGUUUGCUCAAUUAAGGGGAGCCCGUGAAGCCGAAAAAUAAGUCACGAUAUGAAGUUGCCCAAUACAUAGAGAGUUUGAGGCCUGAAAUGCACUGCCGCCCAAUUUUCAUAGAGCCAUUACAUAGAUUAUCUAGCCAACCAUGCAUACAAUAGAGCUAAUAUUUUUGCCUAAAAUAUGAAUCAAGAGAAUAUCAAAUGAAAGAUCAAGAUGAGAGUGUUGGUUCUAUGACAACACUUAACCAAGAAGGAAGUGCUAAAUAGUUAUGUAAAUUUUAUAAUCAAGAUAAUAGAAUCUUCUUUUUUGCCUUGCUUACAGUUUUAAUAAAAUACACCAUAAUUUUUAUAGUGGUUCUGUCUCUUUGACUUAUGUCAACUUUACUAACAAUACUAUGUUUUUAUCUUCCACUAUCAAUUUGGUAUUUUAUUACUGGUUACUAGGGUUCAAUUCAUAUCAAGUUUUUCAUAAAACCCACACUAGAUCACAUGAUCGUGACAAAUCAGCUCCCUUGCACAAGGAAUUAGAAAAGAGUUCACUAAGUUGUUUAAUCCAAAAAGAAAACUUGAUGACUAAUUAUUUGAAUUUGAAGAAGAUGUAAAACGCUUGAUCCUGAUUUCUAGAUCAUCUCAACUUUCAAUAUUAAAUUCUAGAUGUUCCAGCUAAUAGUUGAUUGGAGCAAUCUGCUUUCUUGAUCAUAAUUUAACUUUAUGCUUUUUUUCACGAAUCAUUCUAGAGCUUUAGAAUUUCUAGAGAAAUAUUUCUUCAUGAAGGUUGAAAAAAUGUUACUGAGGAGGCAUGAUAGCAUAGGCUAGAAAAGAUGUUCCAAAUCGCCAAGACUGGCUUCCAUUGAUAGGUUGAUUUUGAAAUGCAUUUCCUUAAUUUUCUAUUCACUUAAUGUUUUUUUUUUAAAAUCUAUUAAAGUUUCUAAUUGAAAUAUCCAAUAUGAUAUAUUCACUUAAUUUCCUUUAAAAUAAAAAAAAACAAAAACGUUAGGCCAAAACUCAAUUAUGUGGAAAAUACUGGCUAAAUUCAAUAUGCUUAAGCAUGGUCCUUGAACACAUAUUGAGAUUGGUAAAUGAAUUCAACUUCAAAGUGAAUCCAAAUUCGUGCAAACAUGAUAUGAGCAUGAUAUAUUGCUUCUAAAGGUUCAUUUUGACAUUUUAGAUCACAUGUUUGUCAUUUUUUUUUGGACUGUAACUCAUAACAUCAGAUUUAUAUGUUAAAAAAAUAUAGUUUAAAUGUAACUAAUGAUUUCUCCACAGCUUUCAUCUACGACACCAAUAUUAAAUACUCAUUGCAUGAGAUUGUAUUUAUGUAUUUGUUCAAACACUUUAAAGUUCAUACAAAAAUAUUUUCCUAACUCUAAAUCAUUAUUUUUUAACAUGGGGACACCAUGUAAUUUUUAUUGAAAAUGUAUGUAGCAAAAAAAAUAAUAAUGUUUUAUACAUAAUUAUCCUUCAAUCUAAAGUUAUGUACACCACGCUAGAGAUGGAUAAUCAUAAUGUAUUUUAUUAAUUUUCUACACAUCUGUGAGUUGAUAAUCAUCAAAAUAAUUCAAGAUGUCAAGAAUUCCAAAGCUAACAAAGAAGAGAUGAUGAGAAACCACUUCCUCCUCUUCUCUCUCUUUCAUCUAUAUGUAAAUAAAACUGCUUGAAGAUCAAUGGAAAGGCUUCUCAGUCCAUGACCACUUUGAAGCAGCUCAUCACUUCAAAAGUGGCCUAAUUGCAUGCUUUAACAAAGCUUAAAUCAUUCCCAAAUCUUGAAGUGAUUGACAAUCUUACUUAAUAUCCUUCAUUAUUAUUUGACUUUUUUCUUUAAUAUUUUGAGGUGCUUUUUCUAUGUUUGGAAUAUGGGGGGGGGGGGGGGGGGUAUAAACCUAUUAUAAAUAUUUUAAAUCCACUACAAAUCAUAAAUCCACCGAAUUUAUGCUAUAGAAGGUUAUUAGAGGUUUUUGAAAUCUGGUGGGGUGAUAUAGACUUGUGAAGUCUAUUUUGUAAGCAUGGUUUCUGAUCUAGGUCUAGUCUUCUUUAUUUAUGUAGAGUGAAUAAUGAAUGUAUGAAGGAUCACUAUUGAGGUGAUGUAGACUUGAGGUAGCCAAAUUAAGGUAAAAUUUUGUGCUAUUAUCGAAACUAAAUUGCUCAAACAUUUGAGUUUAAACACAACACUAAAUAAUAUUGACACCAUCUCUUUGAAGUUUUUUCACAUAUUAAUUUAAUUAAAACUAGAAUGUAUUUUUAGUGACUCAUAUUAUACAACAAAAGUGAGAAUAGAUUCACUCAUGUUCCUCUUUAUUUCUUUGUCUAGUCAUUUGGUGACCAAAAUGUUCUUCUUCUUCUCAUCAUAAGUAGUCUCAUUGAGUCUUGGUUCAUAAUUUCUGGUGUCUUUUUUCACUCUACCUCAUAUAGAGAAUGGAUGAGUAACUAUGUUGCUAACAAGUUCAGCAAAGUGUGACUAGUUGUUUAUGAACCCUUAGACAUUGUUCUCAAAGUAAGUACUGAAAAAAAAACUUCUAAAGUAUUAGUAAAAAAUUUACUGAAUGUGAUAUAUGUACCAUAUUGAAAAAAAUCUCUAUAAUACAAAAAAUAACAAAAUUUUAUUAAAAAAUUUGUAAAUAAUUCAUGUAAAAUUACAUAAAUAAUCAUAAAAUAAUACUUUUUAUAUGACUAGUAUUGAUUGAGAUAGUAGUCAUACGGUUGAUUGCUCAAAGUGAAGUGUACAACAUGAAUAUAGUUUUCUUGUCUUUAGGUUGAAAAGGUCAUAAAAAAAAUAAAUACCUCUCAAAAUCUGUAUUCUCGCUCUUUGAAUUAUCUAUUUGCAACACAUGAUAGUAAACAUAUCUUAUAUAUUAAAUUAAGAAGAUUAAAGACUCGAUAAAGUAGCAGUCAUAAACAUAAGAUGAGUUGGAUUCCUGUAGAAAAAUCGGACAUUGGUUCUAUAUUGAUGAGUUGCAUAAUGACAAGAAAGUGAUUCACAAUAAUGAGGUCUAUCGAGUCAAGAUAUUUUGACAACAAUAAAAGGUAUAUAAUGAUAUUGACUGUACAAGACAUUCAAUAAAGAAUAUACAUAUUACACAAUUUUUCAUCCUAUCAUAAAAAUCAUAACAAGAUCUAUUUUUUCAUUUUGAUUGUAGAAGAUAUUCACUUAAAGCAACUUGACAUGAAGACAUUAUUUUAUGGUGACGCAAAAUAAUAUAUACUUAUAAAAAAUCUAAAUAUUUUAUGUUUGUGCUAUGUAAGUUAAAUAUGUACGUUGAAGGAGAACAUUUACACGUUGAAUAAGUACCAUGAUAGUGCUAAAAUAAUUUGAUGAUUUCAUAACCAUAAAUAGCUGCAAGGAAUGCCAAAUUGAUCACUAGUGCUACUUAAAAAGCUAUACUAAUGCUACAAGCACUAAGUUCUGUGAACACACCUUUAACUAAUCACUGAAAAAUCUAUUUAUCAAUAAUAUUUAUUGCAUUUAGAGAGUGAUAAUUUCAACAAGAAAAAUAUUCAAGUAGAGAUUAGUUAAAAGAUCAAUCCUUUGGUGACAAUCAAGUGACAUAUUCAAUUAAAAAAUAUUUUAAAUUUUCUAGCAGAAGGACUACAUGGAACAUUAUACCACUUGUGAGGUAGGAUUUUUCAAGAUUAUAAUUUUUCAUUUAUACUAUAGAUGAAGAAGGAUCUGCAUAUUUUCAAGAGACAUAAUUGACAAGCGAAUUGUUUGUAGAAUAAGAUAAUGAUAUAAGAAAAAUAGUUUAUUUAUAAAAAUAAAUGAGAUCAAACUAAAUUCCAUAUGGGGGAGAAUAAAAUAAGAUGCAAAUGGGUCUUAAAGAAGGAGACUACUUUGAAAAUAGAAUGACAAAAUCUUGGUUGAUAAAAAAAGAUAUUCGUUAUGUUGAAAUAUUUUUUCUCUAGUGGUGAGACAUACACCAAUUAUGGUGGUGUUUGCCAUAGUUGCAAUGAAGAUUUUGAGUUGGAACAACUUGCUAUGUACAUUACAUUAUUUCGUAGUGAUGUGAAGAAAAAAUAUAUCUAAUAAAGAGUUUGAAGGAUUCAAAAAAUUAAGAUCAAAAGAUCUUAUUAGUAAGUUAAAAAAAUUACUUUAGGAUUUGAAACUAUUAUGAUUGAUUUGACUUAUAUUUAGUUAUGAUACAUAUUAGUCAUAUUAGUUGCAAAUAUAAUUGAUGUGUUUAUACUAAACUCUUUGAAGAUGGAUAUUCGAUUUAUUCAGUACUAUAUGUGGAUGAUAUGCUAAUAACAACGAAAACUAUGAAUGAGAUUGUCAAAUUAAAAUUUUUUCUGAAAAAUCAUUUGAUGUGAACAAUUGUAUCUUAGAGAAAAAAAAUUAUAGAAACAUUAUAUAAAUAUUAAAUUCAUAGAAACAUAAAUAAUGAACAACUACAGGUAUCACAGAAGAAUUACAUCAAGAAGGUGAUUAAAUAGAUAGGUACUCUUUUAAAAAAUCUGUUAGAAUUGUGUUUAUCAGAGUUCAAAUAUUAUAAUAGAAAUUUUAGAGAUGAAAAAUAUACAUUAUAUGAGUAUUGUGAGUAGAUUGAUGUUUGCCAUUAUUUGUACUAAACCCAACGCUACAUAUUUGGUUAAUGUGGUGAAUAGAUUUAUGGUAAUUCUAGAAAUAGAGUAUUACAAAAUAAUGAUGUGGAAUUUUGAGAUAUCUUAAAAGUUAUGCUAAUGUUGAUAUAAAACUGAAAGCUUUGUUAAGAUUAAUUUUGCAGGUGAUUUAGAAAAUCAAAGAUACAUUAUAUUACGUGUUUACUCUUACAAGAGGACUAAUUGACUAUAAAUCAAUACUUCAAGUAGCUUUGCAUUAUCCACAACAAGGUUCGAUGGUCUAAAUAUCAUUUAUUUGGAAAAAGGUUACGUACCAUGCAAGAAUAAAUCACCUUGAUGUGAAAUUCAUAAGAGCCAAGAGUUAAUUCAGAAGAUAUUUUAUCAGAAAAAAUAAGAUUGUAUAUAAUGAUGUAGAUAUGUUGACCAAGAAUUUCAAAAUUUCAAAAUUCAAGUAUUAUUUAAAAUUUAUCUAAAAAAAAAUGCUGAUAAGGUGAGGAAUCUUCUUCAUAGAAAUUCAAGAUAGAGCACCAAUAUUUAAUCUUGAAGGAUGAUUGAGAUAUUAGCCAAGGUAGGAAUAAUUGAGAUAUGACUAAUAUGGUAUGCUUGGCCAGAUCAUUGGCCCAGCAAGCCGAGUAGGAAUCUCCAAAACCUUUUCUUUUAGUUAAUAUCCAGAGGGGACACGACGUAACUGUCAUGUGAUAAGAGAAGGGUAUAAAAACUGUCGUCUUUGUACCCCGAUUAAGGGUUUUGUAAUUAGACCUAAUAACGUCAUUUUUCAAUCCCGCCCGUGCAUCGUUUCACUCUUGGUGACUCUCUACCCUCCAUCUCUCAAGAUGGCGGAAAUAGGCUGGUCAUUUUCUGAGAUAUCCGGAGGGAGAUCGGCUGUUCGCAACGGAAGAAAAAGAGAUUGUUCGAUCUCGGAAGCCUAAUUAAGAGGCAUAAGGUGAAGAGGAGCAUCAGCUAGACCUUGAAACCCUAACGAGUUCUUCCUACACAUGUAUCCUUCCCAUAUCUCCGAAUUAAGUUAUUUUAGGGUUUUCUGUCCAAGUUUUAUCUCCUGGAACCAACAACAUAAAGACUUUAGAUCUCAACUAAAACGGCAUCAAUAUAUCAUCAAACAGAACGCCUUCAUCGGUAGUAACUAGCAGGCAGGAGUAUAACUCAGUGUUCCAUUCGGAUGAGGCAGCGCAGGCCUUGUCCUCUGAGCAUUAAGUCGAACGCCGUGUUGAUCUCGGAGAAGGGGACCUCGUGGGUGAUGAACUUCUCCAGCUCCAGCUCCUGCACCGUCAAACAACCAUAGAAACAGGCCCACAUUUUUUAGCGAACACCUACCUCAGGGAUAGCUCACAACUAAUACGGCAAGGUGAAACUGAGUUCCCUUACCUUGUUCAUGUACUUCUCCACCACACCAGGGAUAUCACUGCGAGGCUUAUAGUUCCCAAGGAAGGUGCCCUUGAGGGUCCGCUCAGUCAAGAAAUUAGCUGGGGACGUCUUGAACACGUCAUCCUUGUGAGGCACACCGACCAAUACAGCGACACCCCAGCCCUGCGACCGUGACGUCAACCAGAUUAGAUUAGAGAUCCUGAAAUAAGAUUAGAAGAUUAGAUUUCCGUUUAUGAAGCCUCAGCAAUCGGGAGACAGUACAUCGUGGACGCAUUCAAAUGCGGAAAUCAUGAAGUCGAUGUUGCCCGUGCACUCCACACUGCGGUCUACUCCGCCGUCGGUCAUCUCGGCGAUCACCUGUUCACCACAGACGACAAGACAUUUUAGAGACCGCAGUCAACGGUUCGAUGCUAAACUCGGAAUGUUAAUAUAUGUGAAAUAAAAACUGAACCUCUUGAACGGGUCUGUCGUAAUUUUUUGGGUUCACAAACUCCGUCACGCCGAACUUCUUAGCUGGUGAUAGAAGCAAUGCAAAUGUCUUAAACUCUGUUGCUGAUCUCCUCAGCCGAAAUCCCAUUGAUUUGAAAAGAUUGGACGCACACCUUGCUCGAAUCUCACCGACUUCAAGUCCACACCGAUGAUCCUGGAAGCUCCUGAGACCCUCGCCCCCUCCGCAGCCUGUUGUUACCAUUUUAACAUGUCAUCAUCUAAUCUAAUUGGGAGAAGAAAACGAAAACCAUCCAUUUUACGGAGAAACAGAGAGAUAAGAGAGCGAAACACUGACGGCAAGGCCCACGGUUCCCAAUCCGAAUACAGCAACUGAAGAUCCCUUCUUUGGCUUGGCCACAUUAACCGUCGCACCGAAACCUUCGAAAAGUUCAAAAAAACAUGUACGGUAUUAAGAAAAGAUCUGAUUCCUAAAAUUAGAGGAUGAGGAAGAUGGUGUGAACACGUUCCAAGGCUAUACUUUUUUUUUUUUACUAGUGAAGUCGAGAAGAUGAGGAAUAAGGCCGCACCUGUCGAGAUCCCGCAACUGAGCACGCAGACCGUUUCCAGAGGGGCCAGGGGGUUUAUCUUCGCCAGGCAGCCCACGUGCACCACCGUGUACUCGCUGAAGGUGGAGGUGCCGAGAAAGUGGUAGAUGGGCUUCCCGUUGAUGGAGAACCUCGACUUCCCGUCCCCGAUCAUCACACCCCGGUCAGGGUUGAUCCUCAGCAGGCUGCACAUGUUGCUCUCCUCCGAUUUGCAGUGGUCGCACUCCUUACACUCUCCCGUGAACACCGGGAGAACGUGGUCUCCCGGCUGCAGAUCCGUCACGCCUUCUCCCACGCUCUCCACGAUCCUGCUCACCAUCAACACCAUACACCCAAAUUAAGUCCGUAUGGGGAGACUGAGGAGGAAGAAGAAGACUAUUCGGGGAGGAGAGCGAGGAAGUGAAGGGAAUUGAGCGGUGGGGGCGUACCCUGCUGCUUCGUGGCCCAAAAUUCGAGGGAACACGGGUGUCUGACCCUGGAAUGCCACCAAAACCAGACCACGUCAAUCAUCCCGAUCGAUCGAGGGACCUUCUGGGCGCUGCCGCCUGGGGGAGACUGAGGAAAACCGUACCUUGGCCUCCCAGAAGUAGACGUCGGUGUGGCAGAGGGAGGUGAAGAGGAUCUUCACGCGGACCUCCAUGGCCUGCGGCGGAGCUACUUCAACCUCUUCGAUAACCAGCGGCUUCCCCGGCUCCCAGGCAACCGCCGCUGCAAUUUCCGGGAAGAGAUGUGGCGAUAAAUGUCAAUGCGUACCACCAUAGGAACCAGGAGAGGACUAAGUGUAAUCCCUCGGUGCAUUUCGAAGACAGGAAGGACAGCCUUCGUCACCAAAUGUGGGGAAAACAGAGAUCCGUGGCCUUGGGAUGGUAAAGAUGGCAAUACCGUCUAAAGGGAGACGGGACGAACCUUUGCAUUUGAUGACUUGACCGACCGUGCUCGACAUCUUCGCCUUUUCUUCUUCGACCCUAGCUUUCUUUAUCUCUCGAAAUUCUCUGUAUGUAGACUUGGAGAGAUAAGGAGGUGGGGGUGACUAUUUGUAGGGAGGGUGGAUGCUCCGACGAGAGCUCCGGACCCGCGCAAAGCGGUGGAUCUUUUUUAAACCGCAGCUGCAGCGGGAUUCCCCCGUUCCCCCUGCCAGGUGGUACCCAGCCUUCUGCGGUCCCCCCUUGCCAGGUGGUCCACUGGGGCAUUUCCUCUCUUUCGAUAGGGUUGACCACUUCAUCGGCCUCAAUUUUCCUCCCGCGUGUCAGAUAUCUAAGAUUCUGGUUUCGCUGUUGUGUCAACUGAUGUAAGCAUAUAAGUAGAUGUUUGCUUGUUUACUAUUGAUACUUGGAGAGAAAAAACCUUAGAAUAUAUGAUCACAAGGAGUACAUGUCUCAUAUAUAUAGGAGAUGAGAGAUGAGAAGAGAUAAAAAGAUAAUGGGCCCUAAUGGGUUAGGGGACCAAUAUCAUUAUUGAAUACUUUUCAAAUUGGAGUAUAUAAGUUGAACAUGCCCAACUUGAUAUAUGUGGUGUUGUAAGAAAUGUUGGCUGAACUCUUUGUGAAGACGUCUGCAAGCUGAUAUGAUGAUAUCACAUGAGGAGUAGAGAUAAAUUCAUAUAUAAUAUUAUCUCAGAUGUAGUGGUGGUCGAUCUCAAUGUACUUCGUACGCUCAUAAAAGGUGGAAUUACUAAUAAUGAAGAUAACAACUUGAUUAUCGCAAUAGAUUAACAUUGGAGAGGGAAAAGUAAUGCCGAGAUCGUCGAUAAGUGAUUGAAGUCAUAUCAUUUCUCACGUUGUCUUAGCCAUAGCUCGAUACUUAGAUUCUGUAUUGGAGCAGGACAACACCCUCUAUUUACGAAACCACUAGGUGACUAGGUUACCACCGACGUAAGUGUAAUAGCUCGUAGUAGAUUUUUGGUCACUUUUGUCACCUACAUACCGACGUCAGAGUAGGAUGCAAUGCAGAGAUAGUCGUGUUACUAAUAGAUGAGUCUUUUCUCAAGGGCUCUCUUGAUAUAGGUGAGGACUCAAAGAGUGCCCUCCCAAUGAAUGUGUCAAGGCUCCUGCAUAAAUUAGCUCAUAACAUUAACCAUGUACGCGAUGUCCAAGCAAGUGACGGUGAUAUAUAUAAGCUUGCCUAACAAUCAACAAUACCAAUUAUCAUCAUAAAGUAGAGGAUAUUGUGUCCUAGAACUAUGGGAGAGCUUCCAUGGGCGAAGUCUCUAUCUUGCACCCAAGUAGGCCUGUCUCUUGAACUAUGUCGAGGGCAUACUUCCAUUGGGUGAGAGCAAACUUCUUGUCUUGAUAUGCAAACUCAAUCCUGUGGAAAUACCGUGGAGUCCCUAAGUCAUGAAUGCUGAGGUACUAUUACAAGUAGACAUUAGUAGCAAAGAUGUUGACCUCAUCACUUCUAAUCACAAAGAUGUCGUCGACGUAGAUUGUAAGGAUGAUAAGGCUGACCUCUGUCUUCUUCAUGAACAUAGUGGGGUCUACAGUGUAAGAGGCGAAGCUAAAGUUAGUGAGUAAAUCACUAAACUUGGAGAACCAAGCAUGUGGGCUUUGCUUGAGCCCAUAAAUGGCACGUUGCAAGAGACACAUCUUCGAUGACUCUUCUUGAGCAACAUACCUAGGAGGUUGCUCCAUAAAGAUCUACUCCUCGAGAUCAUUGUAAAAAAAGGCGUUAGAAACAUGUAACUGGUGAAGAGACUAUGCUUGAUUGACAGUGAGGGAAAUGAGCACAUGGAUAGAGUUGAGGUAGACGACAGGAGAAAACGUCUCAGUAUAGUUGAUCCCAUAUGCUUGCAUGAAGCCUUGAGUGACCAGGCAAGCUUUGUGAUGAGUGAUGGAGUCAUUAAGGUGAUACGUGAAGGUAAACACCCACUUGGACAUCACAAUGUUAGCAUUGGUCGGGUGCAGAACCAACUAUCAUAUCCCCUAAGCUUUCAACAUAGCGACCUCUGCAUCCAUGGCCGCCUUCCACACGGGUACUUGUGCAGCCUCAAUGGACGACUGUGGAAUUGAGUCGGAGGCCACAGAGAGGGCAAAGAUACAAAAGGAGGGAGAAAGGUGGUCAUAUGAAACAAAUUGGGAGAUGGGAUGGUGGGUGCAAGUGCACAUACCUUUGUGGAGGGCGAUAGAAAGAUGAUGUGUCUCUCUAGGUGAGUAUUGUGGUGAUGUUGAAUGACUAAUAGUGAAGAAUCUUCCCAUAUUUGAUACUCUCCAAUUCUAGCAUUAAUGUCCAACCAUUUUGACUAGUCUAAGUCGAGGGUUAGGAAGGACUCACUUGUGGCCAAAAGAUCUGGCUUUAAUGACAAAGCAUCUAUGACUUUGUUCUUUACUCCUCUUUUGAAUCAUACUUCAAAGUCGAGACAUAUGAUCUUAGACACCCACUUUUGAAAAUCAUGUAAAAUUUGUUAUUACUUCAAGAUAAAUUUUAGACUACACUUAUUUGUAAAGAUAAUAAACCUUCAGCAAGAGAGGUAAUGCUUUCAUCUAAGUGCCACAAAGACCAUUACUAUCAACUCAUGUUUAUACACACUGUAGAGUUUUUCAAUGAGGAGAUGCAUGACUAAAGAAAGAUAUAUGCCUUCUUAUCUACAUGAGGACAACUUCAACACCUCAUUUAGAGGCAUCAACUUCAAGUUCAAAAUGUUAGGAAAAAUUGGUGAAGGAUAAUAUUAGCGUGCUCAUGAGAGCAGCUCCACAUCUAGAUUUCACUCAAAAGAGUCUCACUAUAACAAUUGGGUGAGAGGAAGGGCAAUUAUCCCAUAGUUGGUGAUGAAGUGUUGAUAAUACCUUGUCAAAGUCUUAUUGUCUACUUAAACCAUAUCAGUGGUGAUCAUAUGGCCCAAGUACGCCAUUUUUGAUUGUUCAAAUACACACUUCUUUGAGUUGAUACAAAGGUUAUGAUAGUGGAGUACUUUAAACACCAACUCUAAGUGCCCAUAAUGAUGUGUGAGAUUUGAGCUAUAGAUGAGUACUUCAUUAAAGGAAAUUAAUAUGAACUUAGGAAUUUUUUGAAGAUAUGAUUCAUCAAAACCUAUAAAGUAGAUGGGGUUUUAGAAAGGCUGAAUGACAUUAUAAGAAACUUGUAAUGUCUUUACAAGUACGAAAUUUCUGGUAGACAUCCUCAACAUGAACACAUAUCUACUGAUAGCCAGAGCAAAAGUUCAAAUUAGAGAAAAUCAUAACUCCAUAUAUGUUGUCUAGGAGUUCCUCUACAAUGAGAAUGAAAAAAAUGAUUAAGAAUUGUCAAACGGUUAAACACUUGAUAAUCCACACAAAAGUGUCACAAAUUAUAUUUUUUUUUCACCAAUAACACCAAGCUCUAACUUGUUAAAGGGUUGAUCGAGUGUUGCUUGAUCCCCCAUUCUAGCAUCUCUCACACCUAUUGUUUAAUUUCCAAUUUAUAAAAGGGAGGGUACCUAAAUGAUUGAAUGUUGACAUAGUGUGUAUCGAGUACUAAGUGAAUUGAGCAAUCUAUCGUUCAUGCCAAAGGGAGACCCAAAGCGUCCUUGAAGACUUCUAAUAAAUGAAUGUGAAGUUAACCGAAGGUUUCUCUAAUCUCUUAUUUGGAAGGGCCAACAUCUUUCAUGCUUGCAAUCUAGAAUAACUCGACAACCAAAUCUAAUUAGUGGAUGAGAUUCGACAAUGACUUGAAUGAGAUGUUUGGUUGUCGUUGGGAACCCUCUAUGUGUAGACAUAUAUUUUAAGAGCAUUUGAAGAAGAUCAAUAACUUUUGCGCAAAAUCAAUUUUAAGCUUCUUUAUGGUGUAAAUCCACUUCAUACCCAACACCAAGUUUAUUAUUGAAAGGGGUAAGACUAAUAAGUCUUUGUGUAUGUUCAAACUUUAAAGUUCUAUUGUAAUCUACAUAUGAUAGAGUACGAGACCUUCUCUCUAUAUCUAGUGACUAGUUAAAAGUUGAGAUCAAAGUUAUCUACAAUUAUAACUUCCGCACAAGGUUGUUGGAUAUGAAAUUAUGAGAAACACUUAUGUCGACUACAAUUAGUAUUUGAUAUCAGUCAAUGGUUACUUAGAGCUUCAAAGCUCUUAUGGGGUGACCCUCAGUUAAGGAGUUGAGGGUGACCUCUAGGUUAGAUAGAUCUUUUCCUUCAAGUGAUACUUUGAUAGGACUAUUUAUUUGUAAUGAAAUUUUGGGGUUGAAUAGAAAAAUUCAUAAUUGAAAGAUAAUUCUUUAUUGAAGAGAAAGAAAAAGAUUAUGAUCAACAUCACCGAAAGAGAUUUGACAUGAUAUACGAGAAGAGACAACACAAUUCUUUUAGGACUAACUCACAAAACAAAAAGAAGGAUAAGGGUAAUGAAGUUUCUACAAGAAUCUUCUUUGAAUAGGCUGCUACAAGAUAACCAAUCGCCUAGUACUCUCUCAAGAUGUCUUCCCUCCUUUAGACAAUCUUGGUCUACUUAAAUAAUAAUCUUAUAAUCAUUAAAUCCUAGCUCAUCUAUUAUGAUUAAGGAUGAUUGUAGGCAUCUCUUCACUAGCAUUGUUAUAUUUUUUAGUUAUUUUGAUGACUUUUAAAUUCUUCAGUUGCCCCUUUUGUCACCGGUUCCUUUAGGGAUAUUGUGAAUUUAUUAAUAUCAUAUCAUAUGUCCUCUGAGAUGACCAUGAUUUAGAAUUUCUUCCUACAUUGAUGGCUUAGACCAAACAUACAAUUAGAGGUGAAGCAUAUAUCUUGAGCUUACCACUUUUGAAUUUCUUCUUAGGUAAGUUGCAGCCAUCGAGCUCUAUCUAACUAGUUCUACUUGUUCAAGGUCUUUAAACUCUCACCAUAUUUUAGGUGCUGCCCAUUAAGGAGGUCCACUGCUUUUUGUUGUGGCAAAAAAAUUACGUGCAAAGAUAUAUUUUGAUUUGGUGGAUUUAUACUUUCCUCCAAUCUUGGUUAACAAGGGCUUUUGGUUAAUCUUUUGCAUUGUGCACAUAAUGGCUUCUAACCCUAUUAGUUCAAAUAGAUUGACUUCAACUUGAAUGUCUUGAUGGAGCCCCUUCAAGAAUGUUUUCUAAGAUCUAUCUUAACAUCUUCUAGAAUUGCCGCCAUUGGUUUAAAUUGCUCAUGAUAUUUUGUGAUGAAAUUGGUUGUUUAAUAAGAAAAAAAUUAUGGCCCUAGAUUUUCGGAAUUGUUGGAGCUAAAUCACUCUACUAGUUUGUGUUGGAGGUCCUCCAAGUUGUGAAAAGGUGCUUGUGCAUAUGUUUAAGUAUACUAUCUAAGAGCUGCAUCUUCUAAGCUUAUGAUGGCUAUUGAAAAUCUAUUUGUGUGACCAAUACAAUAAUUAAAGAAGUAAGAUAGAGUGAUAAAUUUACACUUUUGGAUUUGAUCCAUAAAAUAAAGAUAUUUACAACAUCCAAGAUGAUUGUCAGUUCUCUUUUGUUGUCAAUGCCUGGGGAACUCUUCUCAAAAGGAAAGGUUAGGGUGGUAGAUCCCCUUCAAUGGGUUGUUACCCACUAUUGCAGCUUAGGACAAAUCUCUCUACAAGAGAUAGGGUUUUCACUAAGCCUAAUGACACGUGGGUUGGUGCCCACCUUCUCCUAACCCAUUAGGUAGAGGUGCCAUUGGUAGUUACCUUGAGUCCUCCAAGAGGUGGAGAAGCUUAUUUAAUUGUUGCUUUAGAGAGGACGUCAUAAGAUUUUUCAAAUAUUGUUCAGAAAGCUACAAUGACUUGUUUUAGUAUGAAAAUAUCUCAUCGAACCUCCUCUAGACUCUUUUGACCAAUUCAAGCUUUGAAUCUAUACUCUUGGGAGGCAUGGUAGUGAGAGGAAAGUCAACUUUGAUACCAAGAUGAUAAGAACAUGAAAUCAAGAGACAAAGGUCAUGGAGAGUUCAAGAGAAGAAUCAAAUCUUUCGUUAGACCCAUAAGUAAAUUCAUGAAGGCAUAACAGACAACAAGAACAAAAACUAAAAUAAGACACUUGGAGAAGAAGACAUAACUUGUCAACUCUUUUUGACAUAGGACCAAUAUGAGAUAAUCAGCCUCCUAUCCUCAAUCUAGAUGCUCCCUCUUUUCCUCCUUUCCAUUGCUCCUCCUUAUAAGUUGUAGUGUAGGCUAUUAACUUUCUCUUUUAGACUUUUUCCAAAUGAUCUUUCCAUCUUAUACUUUGUUUAGCUCUUGAUUAGUUAUCUAUGCUAACAUUUCUCUAUUUGACAUCUAAUGUGAGGAGUAAUUUAUGAUUUGACUUUCCUUAAGUGUGCCUUCGACGUGGCAUGUUAGAGAAGGAAAUUUCAUGGUUUCAUGUAUCCCUUGAAAAUAAUCUUAUAGAUUAGUUAUUCUAUUUCCUCUUAUUUUAAAUCCCCUCCACAACACCCAUCACUACAUGAAAAGGGUAUUCCUAGACCUAAUACUAGACUCAAUUUUAGGUUCACUUAUACCCAUCAAAGGAGUAGUGAGAAGAGUAUUAAUAGGCUAGUCGACCAUUAAUAGUUGAUAUAAAACCCCUAACAGAGUUUGUUUGUGCAAGACAAAGAAGAGUCAGGGGCACCCUCAUCUAGUGUUUUUUCUAGAGAAGAGUCAAAGGCACUCUCAAACUAUCCUCAUGCUUCAUUUGUCUCAUCUAGGGUUUUUUGUGGAAACCCUAGCCACACCCCCCUCAUCCUCUCACCUUCUUUCUCUCUAUCUCUCUUUCUACAACCAUCUCAGAGAAGAAUACAAACUUUCCUUAGUUUUAUUGUCACUAUGUCACCUUCUCUCUCUCUUUCUCUAUACAUAUACUUCAUCUAAUCCAUAUGUAAGACAAGGGACCUAUCAGCCACCCGUGUCCACCUAGUGCUCCUUUCAUAGAUAACAUCCAUCUCAUUUAUAAUUUGAAGAUUAUCAAAGCACAUUGCCAUCCCUUUGACAACUUUACAAUCCUCUUUAUGAUAUAUUUCUUGUCCUCUCACUUCCUUGACCUCUUCACAAUCCCUAUGCUCAAGUUGUUGCUUGCCUCUUAAUUGCUGCUGGUGGAUAGGAUGACUAGUUGUUUCAUCUUGUUAGGCUACUCCUUGGUUCUCUCCUAACCCUUGUUGGUUGAAACCCCAUCCCUUUGAAACUUUAUUGUAUGAAUUGUUAUAUUUUCGAAUCAUAAAUAUGAUGAUGUGUGCUGUAAUAUUGAUAAUUAUAAAUUAAUCAUUAUAUUUAUACAUUCAUAACUUAUAUAUAGCUAUUAAUUAUGGGAUAGAGAAUGCAAAGAUAUAUGUCUUAAUGACUCAUUAUGACAUUAAAAUAUUUUAUAAUUUCAGUUUCAAUGCAUAUUAUUUAUUUUAUUUUAUUGAUAUCAUGAGAUUAUUGACUUUUAUGAAGCUAAGUGGUAAUUCUCUCACAUUUUUUUAAUAAUUAUUUGAAUGUAAAAACUUAGUUGAGCUUUUAUUAUGAGUUAGAAGUAAAUUAGAGAAGCCCAAGUCUUAUGAACAUGACUGACCUAAUACUUUUAUGGGCCCAAGGGAGGGUGCCAUUUUAGUUAGGCCAGUUUAGACUUUAAGUGUGACGUCAUCUUGGCUCAGCCUAUUUGAACUUAAAAGGGCUAUUAAGAGAUAGGAUAUAAGUCACCCAUCUUAGGGUGCCUUAAGAUGAUAUUAAGAUGAGAUAUAUAAUGCCGCCCUCAUGGAGGAAUCUGAGCCAUCCACCAAGAGAUUCAGUACUAAUUAUAAUCGUCCCUUGGAGAAGGUUGAUUCUCUAAAAGUUUAAGGCCUCUCGCGCCCCUCGAAGUAAGCUUUUUUUGGCUCCCUCUCAAGCAAUAGCUAGCCAAAGAAAAAAGUAGGGAAAUCAAGGCCUGGUCAAUGACAUGCUCGUGCUCACGAUCAUUGUGAAAAGGAGAUCUUCAAAGCAUAUCAAUCUCAUCACGUAUCAAUUACCACUUGGCUUAGGAUUGACGCUCAAACUGAGUUUAUGUAUGAUCAGGAAUUGGGCCUCCUUAUAAUUUCUCUAUGCAUAGAUUAACUCUUGAUUUGAAUUAAUUUGAUCAUUUAUCAUUAUUGUAUUAUGUUCUAUUUAUUCUCUUCUCUUCGUCACCUUUUUCAUAUCUCUUAUCUUCACCAUUAUCACAUAUGAUUUUGCCAUCAUCUUUACGAGUAUACAUAUAUAUAUAUAUAUAUAUAAAUCAAAAUAAUAUAAGUAGAAUUCCUACUCUAAUUGGUUACACUCCUCGAGGAUCGACCCUUAUUCAUCUUAAAUUGAAAGAGUGAGGUCUUAUAAAUAUUAUUUGCAUAAACUUGGUUACACUCUUGUCAACGUUUUAACCUCUAAAUUGAGUUCAUCAAAUAUGAGUUGUUGAAUGUAUUAUGCAAGUUGUGUAAAUAUGUUAUAAAAACAUAUGUAUUGACUAAUAAUUUGUAUAUACUAACAUAAGAGGCACUAAACCUUGAAGGUGAUUUCUAAUGUGUGAAUCAAUUUUAUCAUGUAUGAGUGUCACAUUAUUCCAUCCCUUAUAUAGUUUGUACAGUUUGUAUAUGUUAUCAUGUGCAUUGUGCAAAUUUUUACCAGCUCAAUAUAAUACUUUUGAUAUAAUAACAUAUAAAUCAUAUUUAAUUGAAACAUAUUAUUGUAGAAAUUAGAUAUUUUAAUACUUUUAUGAUGUUAUUUGUGAUUUUUGAAAAUUUAAAUACAUUAUUUUUUUAUUUGUUGACUUUAUUGUUUUGUUAAUGAUAUGAAAAACUUUGGUGGGAGUAGGGUGUUGUCAAAUAAAAAAGAUAAACUAGAAUUCUAAAUUGAGACUAGGUCAACAUACUUAUCAAUUCGAACCUUGUUCAUCUCUAUUAGGGUACUACAAUCAUGAUUGAUCAUCGAUUCAAUCAAAAUGAUUGAUAGUCCGAUCAACCAAAAUCACUGAUCAUGAUUGUUGAUCGUCAAUCAUGACAAUCUGAUCGACUAUGAUCAGAUGAUUGUCAUUUAAUAUUAUUAUAUUAUACAAUUAGGUGAUCAAAUCAAGUGCCUAAAUAUUAUAUAUAAAUAUAUUAUAUAUAUAUUAAAUAUAUAUUUAUAUAUUAAGCCUAAGUUUUAGCUUUAUUAAGAUAAAUAUUAGGCCUAAUAAAUAUAUUAAUAUUUAUAUAAAUUAAGAUUCUUAAUAAUACAUCUACAUAUAUUAGUUUUAAUUUUUAAAAUAAUAUAUACGUAUAUAUAUGUAUAUAGUGGGAUUAAAUGAGCUUACUUUUCAACCUAUAUGAAACAAAUUUCCAGAGGUGUCAUUUGUGGCAUGUAGGAAGGCCUUGUCUAAAUUUAAAGCUUCCUAAGAUAUAAUGAACUUUUUAAAUGAACUUUGUUAAUGAGAAAAAGGGAGAGAGAUAGAGAGAGAGAGGUGAAGUUGGCAAUGGUGGUGAAGUUGACAGCAGUGGUGAAGUUAGUGACGAUGAAGUUGGCAAUGGCGAAGUCGGUCUCUCUGACAAGAAGAAGACAUAGAUAGUGAGAGUGAGAGUGAGAGUCAAUAGCGGGAGAGAGAGAUUUAAUAUCUCUCUCAUCAAUGUGAAUCAUUACCAUUAGAUGAUGAAAAGUCAUCAUUUAACAUAUGGUCAAUUGUAGUCAUCGAUCCACCAAUCGAUCGACAAUCGAUCAAUGACCUAAUCAUAAUUAUGAUCGUGAUCAUUUUCUAUGAUUGUGAUUGUCAAUUGAUUGAUCACGAUCACAAUACCCUAGUCUCUAUUAGAAUAUCUCAACAAGUUCUAGAAGAUAAGAGAGACGCAGAAGGCCGAAGUCUAGUUUGCUAGAGAACCCUGGCCCUUGACAAUGCAAGUCAUCUGACACUCAGAGUCUACAUUGAUGGGCCUAGCUGUGGUGGGUUUAUGUGGAGCCACCAGUGUCGGCGUCGAAAACUAUGGAAGAUAAUGAACUCACAGAGAGACGAAGACCAGAUCUUAGCCACCAAGGGAGAACAAUUAAUAGUAGCGUGAAUAAAAAAUAAGCGAAGAUCCAAGGAGGAAGGCAUCUGGCAAAAUACUUGACUUAUCUUUUGGUCACCUUCAGUGGGGUAAGAAUCGCUUUAUCUGUUUUCGAAUAAUUAACAAGGAAUUGAUGUUGUUACAAGUCCCAGUCAAGAUGAGCGAGGGAGAGGCAGAGAGACAGCGAGAGUUCGUAAGAAAGUGUAUAUUACUAUCUUUACAGAGUUUGUACGGCGCUACAAACUACAUAACUAACCAUAAAUCAUAAUUCUCGAGGUUCGGUUUGCAUUGUCAACGCAAAACCUAAACUCAUACAACCGGACAACGAGAGAAACUCAGUGUUCCAUUCGGAUGAGGCAGCGGAGGCCUUCUCCUCUGAGCAUUAAAUCAAACGCCUUAUUGAUCUCGGAGAAGGGGACUUCGUGGGUGAUGAACUUCUCCAGCUCCAGCUCCUGCACCGUCAAGCAACCAUAGAAACAGGCCCACAGUUUUUAGCGAACACCUACCUCAAGGAUAACUCAACCCCACUCACAACUAAAGUAAGGUGAAACCGAGUUCCCUUACCUUGUUCAUGUACUUCUCCACCACACCAGGGAUAUCACUGCGAGGCUUGUAGUUCCCAUAGAAGGUGCCCUUGAGGGUCCGCUCAGUCAGGAAAUUCACUGGGGAGGUCUUGAACACGGCGUCCUUGUGAGGCACACCGACCAACACAGCGACACCCCAGCCCUGCGACCGUGAAGUCAACCAUAUUAGAUUAGAGAUCGUGAAAUAAGAAUAGAUUUCCUCUUAUGAAGCCUCAGCAAUCGAGAGAAAGUACAUCGUGGACGCAUUCGAAUGCGGAGAUCAUGGCGUUGAUGUUGCCCGUGCACUCCACGCUGCGGUCUACUCCGCCCCCGGUCAUCUCGGCGAUCACCUGUUCACCACAGUCGACAGGACUCGCAUUUUAGAAACCGCAGUCAACGUCUCGAUGCUAAGCUCGUAAAUGUAAAAUUGUGUGAAAUAGAAAGCGAACCUCUUGAACGGGUCUGUCGUAAUCUUUUGGGUUGACAAACUCCGUCACGCCGAACUUCUUAGCUGGUGAUCAAAGCAAUGCAAACGUCUUAAACUUUGCUGUCGAUCUCAUAAGCCGAAAUCCCAUCGGUUUGAAAGGAAUGGAUAAGCACCUUGCUCGAAUCUCUCCGAGUUCAAGUCCACACCGAUGAUCCUGGAAGCUCCUGAGACCCUCGCCCCCUCCGCAGCCUGUUUGUCACCAUUCUAAUAUGUCAUCAUCCAUCAUACAGAUAAACAGAGAGAGAAAGAGAGAGAGACACUCACAGCAAGGCCCACGGCUCCCAAUCCGAAUACAGCAACAGACGAUCCCUUCUUUGGUUUGGCCACAUUCACCGUCGCGCCGAAACCUACGAAAAGUUCAAAAAAACAUGUACGGUAUUAAGAAAAGAUCUGAUUCCUAAAAUUAGAGGAUGAGGAAGAUGGUGUGAACACGUUCCAAGGCUAUACUUUUUUUUUUUACUAGUGAAGUCGACAAGAAGAGGAGUUAGGCCGCACCAGUGGAGAUCCCGCAGCUGAGCACGCAGACCGUUUCCAGGGGAGCCAGCGGGUUUAUCUUCGCCAGGCAGCCCACGUGCACCACCGUGUACUCGCUGAAGGUGGAGGUGCCGAGAAAGUGGUAGAUCGGCUUCCCGUUGAUGGAGAACCUCGCCUUCCCGUCCCCGAUCAUCACACCCCGGNNNNNNNNNNNNNNNNNNNNNNNNNNNNNNNNNNNNNNNNNNNNNNNNNNNNNNNNNNNNNNNNNNNNNNNNNNNNNNNNNNNNNNNNNNNNNNNNNNNNNNNNNNNNNNNNNNNNNNNNNNNNNNNNNNNNNNNNNNNNNNNNNNNNNNNNNNNNNNNNNNNNNNNNNNNNNNNNNNNNNNNNNNNNNNNNNNNNNNNNNNNNNNNNNNNNNNNNNNNNNNNNNNNNNNNNNNNNNNNNNNNNNNNNNNNNNNNNNNNNNNNNNNNNNNNNNNNNNNNNNNNNNNNNNNNNNNNNNNNNNNNNNNNNNNNNNNNNNNNNNNNNNNNNNNNNNNNNNNNNNNNNNNNNNNNNNNNNNNNNNNNNNNNNNNNNNNNNNNNNNNNNNNNNNNNNNNNNNNNNNNNNNNNNNNNNNNNNNNNNNNNNNNNNNNNNNNNNNNNNNNNNNNNNNNNNNNNNNNNNNNNNNNNNNNNNNNNNNNNNNNNNNNNNNNNNNNNNNNNNNNNNNNNNNNNNNNNNNNNNNNNNNNNNNNNNNNNNNNNNNNNNNNNNNNNNNNNNNNNNNNNNNNNNNNNNNNNNNNNNNNNNNNNNNNNNNNNNNNNNNNNNNNNNNNNNNNNNNNNNNNNNNNNNNNNNNNNNNNNNNNNNNNNNNNNNNNNNNNNNNNNNNNNNNNNNNNNNNNNNNNNNNNNNNNNNNNNNNNNNNNNNNNNNNNNNNNNNNNNNNNNNNNNNNNNNNNNNNNNNNNNNNNNNNNNNNNNNNNNNNNNNNNNNNNNNNNNNNNNNNNNNNNNNNNNNNNNNNNNNNNNNNNNNNNNNNNNNNNNNNNNNNNNNNNNNNNNNNNNNNNNNNNNNNNNNNNNNNNNNNNNNNNNNNNNNNNNNNNNNNNNNNNNNNNNNNNNNNNNNNNNNNNNNNNNNNNNNNNNNNNNNNNNNNNNNNNNNNNNNNNNNNAAGGAAAACCGUACCUUGGCCUCCCAGAAGUAGACGUCGGUGUGGCAGAGGGAGGUGAAGAGGAUCUUCACGCGGACCUCCAUGGCCUGCGGCGGAGCUACCUCCACCUCUUCGAUAACCAGUGGCUUCCCCGGCUCCCAGGCAACCGCCGCUGCAAAUUCCGGGGAGAGAGAUGUGAGAAUAGAUGACAAUGCGUUUAACUAAUGGAAUCAGGAGGAGAACAGAAAAAAUCCCUUCCUUUCUUUCCCAAAAUAGACUGAAUCUACUAGGGUUUCCCAAAAUCUAUGCGGUGUAGCGGAGGACUAGGGAGAACUACAAGUAGGACAGGGAAAAAUAGGGAAGCGAUCUAUGACUACGAAUACGGACCUUUGCACUUGAUGACCUGACCCGUUGUGCUCGACAUCUUUGCUCUCUCUCUCUCUCUAUAUCUCACACAAACACUGAGGGGCGCUUGAAUAAUAACACCCGCCGAUUCCCAGACGUCCCACACUUGCGGAAGCACAGAGAAGGCAGAGUUAUAUUUAUAGGACGCCACGGGAACCAGACCGACGGAGCUCCAGUGAAGCGAUUUGUCGACUGUCCAAAACCGCUGCGGCUACGGGAAAUUUCUCAUCCAGCGGCGGAUGGGCGCCCUUCGACCCUGGCGGCUGUCGGCCCCCUUUUUCUGCGGGACUUCUAGAAUCCGAUGACGCGUUGACCCGCCGACAAAAUGGGUCGUGUGCCCUCUCCAUCUGGCCUCUAGAUCCCCACUUUUUGGAUCCCACAGACGAAGGUCAUACGUAUUUAAGAGAUUUCUUACAAUAAAUUUCUAUGUAAUUACAAUUAAUAAAAAUUUAAUAAAUCCAUAUACCACAUAUUUUAAGAAAAUGUCUAGUCGAGUCUGAAACUUUUAUACUUUAAAAUCUUCCGACGAUUAAGACUCCUGAAUUAAUAAUCUGGGCCCCCCGCACGGAAUUUUUAUUUCGUUUCCACAGCCGUGGAAUUUCCGAGACAAUAAACCGACGACGUUGCAUCGGUGGUUUGCAAUACCGCUGCCGUCGCCGCAGCCUGUAACCGGUAUUCUAGACGCCGGCCUUGCCCGUAACGUACGGUGAAGACAAUUCCCGGGCAGGUCCCGCCAAUAAUCGUGGAGCCUAAACGCUCUCUCUCUCUCUCUCUCUCUCUCUCUGCGCCAAGAUAGGGAGAGGCCAACCCCUCCUCCCCUCCCGACCAGCUGGAAGCUCCCGUCCGCUUCCUCUGAUACCACCUGCCUCCGGCAGCUACAUGCAGACAAUACCUACAUCCAGGUUGGUCAGCCAAUCCGGGGGCUUCAUGGGAAUACGCCGGAGAACCCAUGUUCGGUUCAUUUUAUCUGUCGCAGACAAUAUUUAGGACAAUCUAAAGGACAUAGUAGGUCCGUGGACCUUUAGAUGCGCGGAACGAAUGGACUCACAAAAUAUCGGCGGGUUUUUAUUUACUUCAAAGAACAUAAAAUUAAAAAAAGACCCACAAAAUCUUAACUCUGACAAAAUACUAAAUUAAAAUCGAAAAAAAUGAAAAUGGAAAGUUUCUAAAUUAUGGUUUUACGAUCUUGGUAUUGGCUCAAGCUUGCACCCCAUUUUCACGUAUUUUACACCAAUUUGAAGCAAAAUAAAAUCCAUUUUAAAAAAAUAUAAAAUAGCGGCAGUCGAACGCUAACAAUCGACCUUAAAUCGUCCUCAGUCCUCUUUCCGAAGUUUGGAAAGCCUUCUGGCGCAGGAAAAAAAGACCUCGUCACCGUUGGACCCCAGCCACUUCCUUUGCAUGCGGAGUCUUCAAUCUAGAAUCAUCGGGCUAAGCACCGGACCGCGCCGCCUUCCUGGUUUGUGAUACCGCCAUCGCAGCAGCCCAAAACAGGAAUAACCGAUGGCGGCUCAUUCACGUAGCGUCCGUCAAAGGAGAAAACGACGUAGUUCGCUCCUCAACAGCUGUCCUGCCGGGAUAUUUUAUCACGGAGGAGGCGGAGGACACCGCAGAAGUCCAUUUCCGACUUGGAGCUUGACGAAGGUCGGCAUCCGAAGAUCCUUCGGCACGUGUAAAGAAAUCAACCACGUCGCAGAAAUAAUAGAAGCGGGCGGCCGGGCGCAUCAAGAUUCAAAGACUUAAAUUAUUAUAAAAAAAACUCUCUUUACAUAGUCCACACGGACUCGCAUAACAAAGGUAACAACUACCCAACUGCACGAAUUAAUAUUUUGCCAAGAAAGCGACAUUGGGCGCCAGACAGGAGGCACAGUUAUUUCGGACUUCAGUAUAUCUCAUCGGUGGCUCGCCUUCACCCGUAGGAGUGGGCUGGCAGCGUAAAAUCAGUUUUCCAUGCGAAUGAGGCAGCGGAGUCCUUCUCCUCUGAGCAUUAAAUCGAACGCCUUGUUGAUCUCGGAGAAGGGGACCUCGUGGGUGAUGAAUUUCUCCAGCUCCAUCUCCUGCACCGUCAAGCAACCAUAGAAACAGGCCCACAGUUUUUAGCGAACACCUACCUCAAGGAUGACUCAAACCCACUCACAACUUAUGCUCCAAGGAGAGACCGGGUUCCCUUACCUUGUUCAUGUACUUCUCUACCACACCAGGGAUAUCACUGCGAGGCUUGUAGUUCCCGUAGAAGGUGCCCUUGAGGGUCCGCUCAGUCAGGAAAUUCACUGGGGAGGUCUUGAACACGUCAUCCUUGUGAGGCACACCGACCAACACAGCGACACCCCAGCCCUGCGACCGUGACGUCAACCAUAUUAGAUUAGAGAUCGUGAAAUAAGAAUAGAUUUCCGUUUUUGAAGCCUCAGCAAUCGAGAGAAAGUACAUCGUGGACGCAUUCAAAUGCGGAAAUCAUGGCGUUGAUGUUGCCCGUGCACUCCACGCUGCGGUCUACUCCGCCGCCGGUCAUCUCGGCGAUCACCUGUUCACCACAGACAAAAAAACUCACACUUAAGACACCGCAGUCAACGGUUUGAUGCUAAACUCAUAAAUGUAAAAUUGUGUGGAAAUGAAAACAUACCUCUUGAACGGGUCUGUCGUAGUCUUUUGGGUUCACAAACUCCGUCACGCCGAAUUUCUUUGCUGGUGAUACAAGCAAUGCAAAUGUCUUAAACUCUGUCGUUGAUCUCAUUAGCCGAAAUCCCACUGAUUUGAAAACAAUAGGCACACACCUUGUUCGAAUCUCUCCGAGUUCAAGUCCACACCGAUGAUCCUGGAAGCUCCUGAGACCCUCGCCCCCUCCGCAGCCUGUUACCAUUCUAACAUAUCAUCAUCCAUUCCACAGAGUAACACAGGGAGAAAGAGAGCGAGACACUCACGGCAAGGCCCACGGCUCCCAAUCCGAAUACAGCAACUGACGAUCCCUUCUUUGGCUUGGCCACAUUCACCGUCGCGCCGAAACCUUCGAAAAGUUCAAAAAGAUAUGUAUGGUAUUAAAAAAAAGAUAUGAUUCCAAAAAUUAAAGGAUGAAGAAGAUGCUAUGAACACGUUCCGAGUCUAUGCUAUUUUUACUAGUGAAGUCGAGCAGAAAAGGAAUAAGGCCGCACCUGUGGAGAUCCCGCAGCUGAGCACGCAGACCGUUUCCAGGGGAGCCAGCGGGUUUAUCUUCGCCAGGCAGCCCACGUGCACCACCGUGUACUCGCUGAAGGUGGAGGUGCCGAGAAAGUGGUAGAUCGGCUUCCCGUUGAUGGAGAACCUCGCCUUCCCGUCCCCGAUCAUCACACCCCUGNNNNNNNNNNNNNNNNNNNNNNNNNNNNNNNNNNNNNNNNNNNNNNNNNNNNNNNNNNNNNNNNNNNNNNNNNNNNNNNNNNNNNNNNNNNNNNNNNNNNNNNNNNNNNNNNNNNNNNNNNNNNNNNNNNNNNNNNNNNNNNNNNNNNNNNNNNNNNNNNNNNNNNNNNNNNNNNNNNNNNNNNNNNNNNNNNNNNNNNNNNNNNNNNNNNNNNNNNNNNNNNNNNNNNNNNNNNNNNNNNNNNNNNNNNNNNNNNNNNNNNNNNNNNNNNNNNNNNNNNNNNNNNNNNNNNNNNNNNNNNNNNNNNNNNNNNNNNNNNNNNNNNNNNNNNNNNNNNNNNNNNNNNNNNNNNNNNNNNNNNNNNNNNNNNNNNNNNNNNNNNNNNNNNNNNNNNNNNNNNNNNNNNNNNNNNNNNNNNNNNNNNNNNNNNNNNNNNNNNNNNNNNNNNNNNNNNNNNNNNNNNNNNNNNNNNNNNNNNNNNNNNNNNNNNNNNNNNNNNNNNNNNNNNNNNNNNNNNNNNNNNNNNNNNNNNNNNNNNNNNNNNNNNNNNNNNNNNNNNNNNNNNNNNNNNNNNNNNNNNNNNNNNNNNNNNNNNNNNNNNNNNNNNNNNNNNNNNNNNNNNNNNNNNNNNNNNNNNNNNNNNNNNNNNNNNNNNNNNNNNNNNNNNNNNNNNNNNNNNNNNNNNNNNNNNNNNNNNNNNNNNNNNNNNNNNNNNNNNNNNNNNNNNNNNNNNNNNNNNNNNNNNNNNNNNNNNNNNNNNNNNNNNNNNNNNNNNNNNNNNNNNNNNNNNNNNNNNNNNNNNNNNNNNNNNNNNNNNCUCCUCCUCCUCUCUCUCUCUCUCUCUCUCUCUCUCUCUCUCUCUCUCUCUCUCUCGCUCGUACGCUCGCUUGGUCGUUGUGAUGCAAGGCCGAUACUAUACUCGGAGAAACAACGAGAUGCUAAGUAUAUAAAGGGGGCUGACCCCGGGAUAUUCGUGGUUUCUCGAAUCUCCAAUACCGUUUGCGCUGUGGGAAACAUCUCAUCCGGCGGCUUGAUUGGAGGAUUUGGGAUCGGCGGCUGUCGUUUUCUUUCACAGCCGACGGUGUGGUUGACCGAUACCUCCACCUCGGUGGUAUUUCCACCGUCUAGGAUUUCGACUCCGGUUUUACUCUGACGUCAGUAAGAGACUAGUGUACACGUAGUUAUUUAAAUUCAUUUGAUCUAAUUAACACGAUAAGUUGCAUCUGGAAUACUUCACUAUACGACGGAGCAUCCACUCUAGAAAGGAUCAUCCUCGUUGAUUCAUCCCUUAAAAUUCAUGAAUCAAUGGAUUCAGAAAUCACAUACUUGAAAACAGCUAGAUUAUAUUCCAAUUUUAUAUUAUUAACUUUUACGAAAGAUAUUUAACAAUAUUGACCAUCUCAUUCGGUUUCUUUGCUACUAAAAUCCAGUUUUAAAUAAAAUACUGAAAGGCAAACAAUUUCAAACUUAGCUUGUGAUUGGGCAUAACUGUUUUCGAAACAUGUUCCUUUCUCAUUUUUCUGUAUUUUCUUGAGUGGAGAGGAUGAUGAAGAUCAUUUGAAACUAAACUGUCGAAUAUCCAACAUUACACUCCGACCAAACCAGUCCAUCGUUUCUCCUUCCAAGGAACUGGAGUCUUUCCAUAACUGGGCCAUUACGUUAGACGAUUCUCGUGGGAAAAGUGAUCACCGUCGUAGCUCAACUGCUCCAUCCUUCCGAAUACCAGCAACAUGGAUGAUAGAUCCACCAAACUAGGGCCAUCAAAUAAAGACCAGAUGAAGCCGCCCCCAUGUUUGGUUUGCAAUACCGCCGUGGAGAGAAACCGGGAUCCGCGACGCUGUCUCUCGCGCGUAGUGUUGGCGUUCUGUUGAAUCUUUUGUUCUAAUCGGGAACGUUGACUACAUGAAUAUUUGACGAUAAAGCAUGUGAAGCAAUCAGCUGUCGGAGCGACUUAGAUGAAAAUGGGAAGGCGGCGCAAUCGGAUUCACCGAGUUUUAAAAAUAUUGUCCAUUUGAAUAUCAUUUCUCGUUUUUGGUCGAGCUCCGAGUAUUAGGAAAACGAAAUUACAGACCAAAUAACAUAUGGGAUAAUAAAUAUUACAUGUGUAUUUUUAAACGUCAUCGAUUGGAUCAACUUUACGAUGCAAGACUAAAUAGACAUCCAAAGUCGUCAUUUACACUCCGAUUGGAACAACAUGGGAUUUCGAUCGAACACCCCAUGCUGGGUCUGAAUUUUAGAAGAAUGGCUUGAAGAAGCAAAGCCAACUUCAACUUUUCAUGUUUUUCGCUUGGUAGUGCAACAGUUUAGAUACCAUUUUCAUUUUUCUGGAGUGAAAAACAGAUUACACGCUGACUUUCAUCUUCUUGGCGUCAAUAGUCUUAAAUCAGGCAUGGAAAGGACUUACAGAUUUCUUGCUAUGAUUAAAAGGAAAAGUGAAUUAUAAAAACUACUGCAGUGAUGCCUGACUGGGCAUUUCCAAAGAAGCUGGGUCUUAGCGUGGCAUCCAAAAAAGUAAGAGUUACAAAUUGGAAUUAACUCUUCAUGUGAGUGAAAGCUGACUCUAUAGGAGUCUUUCAGCCGAAAUUCCCCACCUAGCUGGUUUUGAAAAAUGAUUAUUAAUCCCUACCUCGAGGUCAACCGACUAAAAAAAAGGAGGGUUUCCCCGUCCUCAUCAACAAGAGUAUCCAAAACCCCAUGAACCCAUUAUCUAUUCUACUUCAGAGGGAAACUAGGGGUGGAAGUUAAUCCCAAAACGAUAUGACACAAGGGAACGGGGUGCAUGUGGGUCUUAAACGAUAUUACACAAGGGAAGAUGACGAUGCAUUAACUUGAGUUUUAGAGGGUGCAUGUGGGUUUAGGAACUGGUCAAGAAGUAAGGCAAUCAUUGAAACGACCAGAGACCAUUAAUUCAAGCUCUUCAUCUGAUAAUAUAGCUCUCCUGCUAGGUGAAUCCAUCCAACCAUUUUAGUGCUGAACAUCCCUAUUUUCAGAGUGUGAGCUCUCUUAACACAAUUCACAGGUAGUUUAACAUAAAAGUUCAGGAACUAGGUUCACUUACAAAACAUUUAUCGAAAUCAAGACACGUAACGUGUUGAGAUAUGGCUAAUAUCUCAUUUGGGCUAGGUGAGGUAGACUGUCAAAGGCUGGUUGGGCCCCGUGUUGGCCCGAAAUGUAGAGAGUGGAAGGCUCCGAAACCAUUUCUUUAAGUAUAAGUCGAAUGACAUAGAUGUAAGCUCUCAUGGGAUGAGAGGGGAUAUAAAAACCGGCAUCUUUGUGUCUUGCUCAAGGCUUUUCGUGUUCAGGCUUAAUAGCAAUUAAUUUUUCUAUCCGCUGCGUGCAUCCUCCCUCUCCUUGUGGCUCCCCCUUUCUCCCUCUCUCAAGAAUGCGGAAACAAGUUGGCUGUUCUCGGAGGUAUCCAGAAGGAGAUUUGCUAUUCUAAGUACAAGAAAAAGAUUGUUGAAUCUUGGAGUCGUAAUCAAGACGAAUAUGGUCAAGACGGGAAAACAGCUAGACCUUGAAACUCAAGCGAGUUCUUCCCACACAUGUAUUACGCUCACAUUUUCAAGUCAACUCAUCUAACAUUUAAUUUUAGCAUGUGACAGAAAAGGGUGAAAAAUCUACUUGUUCAACAAGAAAUGGCUAAGACAUUAUAUGUAAAACAGAAGAAAUAUGAAAUGAUGAAGGAUGACUUUCGGAAAAGCUUGGAGAUGAAAGCAGCCUAUAUUUUGUAUUGUAUUAAAUAUAAGCUCACCUGCAUCUUGAAAGCCUAAUGAUUGUAUCAAGACUUUGAAAGUUUGAUGAUUGUGUCUAAGAUAUAGAGUUUUAUUUGUCUUAAAUUUGUAUUGACUUGCUGAUAUUUGGGCGAAACUAGAGAGCUGUUUUAUUUCAAGAUCAUUGACAAAUAAAUUGUUUCUUAAACAAAAACUGUAUGGGCUAAAGACAAACAAGUAGAUUUUAUUUUGUAGUGUAUCUAGAUAUUUUUUAAUUAGAUAGUUCAUUAGUGAUAUGUUGAUGUUAGAAUAUAAAUUUGAAGAAGAGGAUAAGACAUUGGUUCUUCUUGGUUCUCUCCUUUUCUCAUAUGAGUAUUUAGUGAUAACAUUUUGUGGGAAAACCAUUGAUUGUUAUGAAGUGACACCAAAUCUCAUGUGAUAUUACGGGGUAAAGAUACAAUUAGAAACCAUGCAAGUUGAAGGGCUGAUGGUUAGGAGAGGAUGUGAAUAGAGAUAUAUGAGAAAAGAGGAAGCUCAACAGAGAGGUAGAAAUUAGAGCCUAGAACAGAAUUCAAAGCAUGUUAGCUUAAGAGUGCAGAAUGUUAUAAGUGUUAUGAGAAGGGAAAUUAUAGCAUAAAUUGGGAAAAAUUAAAUUGUGGAAUGGUUGCUAAAAAAACCAUUUUGAUGAUGCAAAAAGAUAGAAACCAUAGUCUAAAUAAAAGUUUGGAACGUGUUUGAUUGAGACAACAAUGUCAUGAGUCAUGAGAAGGGACACUUGAGGAGAAAUUAUCUAAACAUAAACUAAAAAAUACUUGCUAAAAUUAACCGUUUUGAUUAUGAAAAUGUUGCAAAGGAUGAAUCUUAACACAAAGUUAGGAACGUGAUGUCUAAAUUGACUAUAACUAAUAAAUUUAUAUAUUCACGAGUGUUAGAUUGAAGGAGAUUGUACCUUGUACAAAUUUAGAUUAAUUUGAGACAUAGGAGUCAAAUAAUUUGAGCUAUUUUUGGGGAAAAUGCUUCUUGUAAGGUCGUUAUAAUAUGAACUAUAAAAAAGCUAUUUAAUGGGAUCUAAAUAAUUUAUUUAAUUUUAAAUAUUUAUAUACUUUCAAUAAUAAUCUUAUUUGUUUAUGAACACUAAGUUCUUAAAUUCAAAUGAUAUACCUCAAAGGCUAAAAAUGAAAUAUUAAAGAUAUGUAAAAGAGCAGCAAUAGUGAUGAAACAAACCAAUCUACUAAGAAAUAGUUAUAGACUCUAAGGAAACAAUAUCGUAGGUGGAAUUUCAUGGACAUGUGAAAGUUGUACGACAUAUAUUAUAGUAUUAUGACUCAUAAGGUUAGGUUAUAUCAGUAAUAAUGACGUGAAAGAGCUCCAUAAGUGAGAACUACUCAAUAGAGUCAAAACAUGCAACUAUUAUCUUAUGUGAAAGCAAUACUAUAGGUUAUAGCAAUAAAGUCAUUCAUAUUACAAAGGUAUACCAAAUUAUAUUCUGUCAAUCAUUCAUUCAAAUCACUCAUAGUAUAAGUAUUUUGAAUUUUUGGAGUAUUGUGAAGAGAACAUGAUCAAGAGGCAUUUUAAUGUCAAAAUUGUGUUGCAACAUAAUGUCUUUACAAGAAUAAAAAAUAAGACAAUUGUUGAGAAAUCAAGUUAUUAGAGGUUGAAUACAAUAUUCUCUACGGAGUUUUAGGAAAAGGUAGUCAACAUGGCAUGUUCUUUGUUUGACACAUUGCCGAAGUGUCGCUCUAGAUGAAAAAGAUUGUAUCCGGUGGUGUCACCUCAUAGUUGUGCCACCUAAGGUGUUGAUGUGCUACCACAUAAGGUCUGUGUGCUCGGUUGUGGGAUCUCCACAUCUGCAUCAUUGUUCCUUUUAUUCGAUGCCACUUGACCCCUCUUUGAGAAUUCACCAUGUGAAACUACCGAUGACUGAGGUCUUACUUGACUAAGAACGCAAGUUAUUUUCUUGUAUCACAGGUCUCGGCACGACACUGAAUAUCGCCAAAUGGAAGGACUCACAUUGCAAUUCCCAAACUGUGAACUGUCAACCUCAUUAUGCACUCUAAGAGUGACGAUCUUUCUGAAUCCCAAGAGGAUAACGUUCUCUGGUGGUAACAAGCUACGAAGGGAGAGAAGAUCAUGGGGGCUUCAUGGAUUAUUGGCAUGGACUUGAAACACCCAGAGAAUGAAUGAAGUCUUUCCAAAUCACUUAAUUUUGAAGCCCCAGAGAUUGAAGGAAGGUGCGUUCUCCUGUCCUUCCAAGUCAUUUAAUUUUGGUUUAUCAGAUUAACAACAAUGUUUAAGACAUUUGCAUUUCUUUUAUCGCUAGUUAAGAAGCUUGGCAUGACAGAGUUUAUGAACCCUAAGGAAUGCGAGAAACAAGUUCAUGAGGUUCGCUUUGAACCUCACUGAACGCGUUUUAGUCGCUUCCAGCGUCAAAUCGUUGGCUGCGGUUUAUAACGUCUUGUAAUCUGUGGUGAAUAGGUGUUCACCAAGAAGACCGGUGAUAAAGUAGGCUGCAGUGGGGAAUGCAAAUACAGUAUCAGCACCGUGAUUUCUACAUUCAAAUACGUCCACAAUGUGCUUUUCCUGCUCAUCUCACGGUUGCAGAACAUCCAAUGCCAAAUCUUGGAAAGAGUCUUUAAUGGUCUUGGUCUUUGAUGACUCCGCUGGGCUGGGCAUGGCUGUCUUGGUCGGCGUGCCUCACAAGGACGAGGUGUUCAAAACCCACCAGACGAGUCUGCCGAAUGAGAGGACCAUGUGUUGGAGUUGUAGAGAAUCAUCUCCAAUUGGGUCCUCUUGAUCUCUAGUGGACUCUUGGACGCCCACCCCUAUGAUGUCACCAAAGACCACCUUCUUCGGGAACUACAAGUCUCACACAAAUCUUCCUUCAGUGGUGAAGUACAUGAUUAGAGAAGGGGAACUAGUUUACUUUCGCCGCAUUAGUUGAGAUGGGUUGAGUUGUCCUUGAGGUGUUUACUGAAAAACAUGGGUCUGUUUCGAUGGUUGUUUGACGGUGAAGUAGUUGGAGGGGUUCAUCAGCGACGAGGUCCCCUUCUCCGACAUAAAAAAUGCUCUGGGAGAAGGCCUCCGCUAGCUCACCUGAAUGGAACACUGAGUUUCUCUCGUUGUGUAACAGUAUGAAUUUGGCGCUGUGUUGAUGCUACAAACCGAACCUUGAGAACUCUGAAGAUAUAAUGGUUUAUUUAGUUUGCAGCGCCGCACAAUCUCUCUAAAGAUAUAAUAUACCCGGCAUAAUUAUUGAUAGUAUGCUAAAUAAUGGGGUUCACUUCUUCCAUAUACCUAGCUUAAACAAAUGUAAACAAGUGGAGGCCAAGUGCCCUGCUUACGUCAGUUCAUACGACAGCAAAACCAGGAUCCCGGGAAUCUGACACGCGGAAAGAAAGCAGAGGCGGAUGCGGCGGUCAACGAGCAGGAGAGGAAACGCCGAAGUGGGACCGUGGUAAGGCGGGACACCCGCUGGCGGCGGGGAGGGGUGGGGGAAUCCCGCUUCCGAGCCGCUGGAUGACCAGUUUCCCGCGGCAGCAGCGGUUUUAGACAUGAAAAAGAUCCGCCGCUUUACACGGGUCCGAAGCUCUCGUCGGGGCCUCCAUCCUCCCGAUAAAUAGCUCUCCGGCGCCUCCCUCUCCCUCCAAGUCUACAUACAAAGACUUUUUGAGAGAGAGAAGAGAAAGGGUCGAAGAAGAACAAGGCGAGGAUGUCGAGCACGAUCGGUCAGGUCAUCAAAUGCAAAGGUUCGUCCCUCCUCCCUUCAGACGACGUUCCCUUCUUUACCGUUCCAAGGCCACGGAUCUCUGUUUUUCCCGCAUUUGGUGAGGAAGGCGGUCCUUCCUGCCAUCGAAAUGCGCUAAGGGAUUGCACGGAGGGUCUUCUCCUGAUUCCAAUGGUGGUACGCAUUGGCCUUUAUCCUCACAUCUCGUCACGAUAUUUGCAGCCGCGGUCGCCUGGGAGCCGGGGAAGCCGCUGGUUAUCGAAGAGGUGGAGGUGGCUCCGCCGCAGGCCAUGGAGGUCCGCGUGAAGAUUCUCUUCACCUCCCUAUGCCACACCGACGUCUACUUCUGGGAGGCCAAGGUACGGUUUUCCUUCAUAAUAUCUCCCCGAUGACCUCCGGAAGGUCUCUCGGCCGAUGGAUCGCGGUGAUUGACGUGGUCUGGCUAUGGUGGCAUUGCAGGGUCAGACACCCGUGUUCCCCCGAAUUUUGGGCCACGAAGCAGCAGGGUACGCUCAAUUCCCUUCACUUCCUCGCUCUCCUCCCCGAAUAGUCUUCUUCUUCCUCCUCAGUCUCCCCAUACGGACUUAAUUUGGAUGUAUGGUGUUGAUGGUGAGCAGGAUCGUGGAGAGCGUGGGAGAAGGCGUGACGGAUCUGCAGCCGGGAGACCAUGUGCUCCCGGUGUUCACGGGAGAGUGUAAGGAAUGCGACCACUGCAAAUCGGAGGAGAGCAACAUGUGCAGCCUGCUGAGGAUCAACCCUGACCGGGGUGUGAUGAUCGGAGACGGGAAGGCGAGGUUCUCCAUCAACGGGAAGCCCAUCUACCAUUUUCUCGGCACCUCCACCUUCAGCGAGUACACGGUGGUGCACGUGGGCUGCCUGGCGAAGAUAAACCCGCUGGCCCCCCUGGAAACGGUCUGCGUGCUCAGCUGCGGGAUCUCCACAGGUGCGGCCUUAUUCCUCCUCUGCUCGGCUUCUCUAGUUUUAAAUAAGAAAAGCAUAACCUUGGAACGUGUUCACACCAUCUUCUUCAUACCAAGCAUAGCCUCCAAUUUUGGGCAUCAGAUCUUUUCUUAAUACCGUACAUGUUUUUUUGAACUUUUCGAAGGUUUCGGCGCGACGGUGAAUGUGGCCAAACCAAAGAAGGGAUCGUCUGUUGCUGUAUUCGGAUUGGGAGCCGUGGGCCUUGCCGUGAGUGUCUCUCUCACUCUUUCUCUCUCUGUUUAUCUGUAUGAUGGAUGAUGACAUAUUAGAAUGGUGACAAACAGGCUGCGGAGGGGGCGAGGGUCUCAGGAGCUUCCAGGAUCAUCGGUGUGGACUUGAACCCUGAGAGAUUCGAGCAAGGUGUGUGUCCAUUCUUUUCAAACCGAUGGGAUUUCGGUUUAUGAGAUCGACAGCAAAGUUUAAGACGUUUGCAUUGCUUUGAUCACCAGCUAAGAAGUUCGGCGUGACGGAGUUUGUGAACCCAAAAGAUUACGACAGACCCGUUCAAGAGGUUCGCUUUCUAUUUCACACAAUUUUACAUUUACGAGCAUAUCAUCGAGACGUUGACUGCGGUUUCUAAAAUGCGAGUCCUGUCGACUGUGGUGAACAGGUGAUCGCCGAGAUGACCGGCGGCGGAGUAGACCGCAGCGUGGAGUGCACGGGCAACAUCAACGCCAUGAUCUCCGCAUUCGAAUGCGUCCACGAUGUACUUUCUCUCGAUUGCUGAGGCUUCAUAAGCGGAAAUCUAUUCUUAUUUCAGGAUCUCUAAUCUAGUAUGGUUGACUUCACGGUCGCAGGGCUGGGGUGUCGCUGUGUUGGUCGGUGUGCCUCACAAGGACGCCGUGUUCAAGACCUCCCCAGUGAAUUUCCUGACUGAGCGGACCCUCAAGGGCACCUUCUACGGGAACUACAAGCCUCGCAGUGAUAUCCCUGGUGUGGUGGAGAAGUACAUGAACAAGGUAAGGGAACUCAGUUUCACCUUGCCACAUUAGUUCUGAGCGGGACUGAAUGAUCGAUGUCGGUGUUUGCUAAAAAACGUGCGUCUGUUUCUUUGGUGAUUUGACGGUGCAGGAGCUGGAGCUGGAGAAGUUCAUCACCCACGAGGUCCCCUUCUCCGAGAUCAACAAGGCAUUCGAUUUAAUGCUCAGAGGAGAAGGCCUGCGCUGCCUUAUCCGAAUGUAACACUGAGUUAUACUCCUGCCUGCUACUACCGAUGAAGGCGUUCUGUUUGAUGAAGGAUUGAUGCCGUUUUUAAUUGAGAAAACAUGUAAAGUUUUUCUGUUGUUGUUUCAAGGAGAUUGAACCCUAAACAGAUACCUUAAUUUGAAGAUGUGAGAAGAAUAAGAUUGUAGGAAGAACUCACUAGGGUUUCAGGAUCUAGCUGCUGCCCCCUUCACCUUAGGCCUCUGUAUUAGGCUUCCAAGAUCCAACACUCUUUGCUUCAGUUGAGAACAGCCGAUCUCCUACCGGGCACCUCAGAGAAUGCCCAACCUAUUUCCGUCUUCUUGAGAGAGCGAGAGGAGGAGAGCCACGAAGAGUGGGAGGAUGUAUGCACGGGAUUGAAAAAUGACGAGUAUUAGGUCUAGUGCUUUAUAUAUCAGGACAUCCAAAUUAUCACGUCAGUACAUAUAUUUUUAUAGAUCUACACAACUUGCGGAGUACAUUCAGCAAAUCAUAUCUCAGCAUACAAAGUUUCACCGGUGUAGGGAUUUCAGCCACCCUAAAUCCACCACAAUGGCGCCAACGAGGGAAGGGUAGAGGCCUGGGGAGUAGCCUAAUGGGAUGAGACAACUGGUACUCCACCAAUGCGGCAGCAAUGACGACGAGGAGGCAAACUUCUGCCUGCGCGUGGGGAUAAUGGGCAGGGUAAGGAAGUGAGAGGACCAGAGAUAUACUAUAAACAGGACAGUAGAGGAAUCAAAGGGUUGGCGACGGGGUGAUAGACCUCUGCUCAUCAAACGGGAUAGAGACCGUCUCUGAAAGGAUCACUGGUGUUACUGAUUUGUUUAAACUAGUUGGGCCAUUGCAACGGCCCAAGAGAGAAGAUGAUGAGUUAUAUCCGACCCGCAUCUGUUAUAAUGGAUGCCCAUUUGUUGUAAUGGUCUCUCGUAUGUCAUAACCGCUGUCCUUCUCACCCUUUUGUCUUCCCCACCCCACUCUUCCUCUAUUUACAGUGGAGGGGUGUAGGAGAAGGUAGAGUAAGAGUGUCAGGGUCGGGUCUGGGGUUGGAGGGAUACAAGAAAUCGUGAAACUCUCGGUCCUUUCCCUUUUUCCCCUCUAUAUGCAACUAGGACAGUGCUAGAAAUUGUGGCUCAGCAUUUUCAGUAAUGUAUCAUGAUGUAAGAUGUGUUUCAUAUGAUGGUUUGGUUGUUAUUUAGAUCUCCAUUUUGUGUUUCUUCAAGUAAGAAAAAAGAGGCAUCCAAAGCAGAUAGUAUUGUCUUCAAUGUUCCAUGAAGACAGCUCGUGUUGUAUUCUGUGCUGGUCUCUACAGACGCCAAACAUCACGCGCAAGAGACAGCACCGAGGACCCCGGUUUCACUCUUCGGCGACAGCGGUAUCGCAAACCAGGGUGGCGGCUUCAUCCGGUCGUUGUUUGAAGGGCCUAGUCCGCUGGAUCAAUCCACCACGUUUCAAGUAAUCCGAAGGAUGGAGCGGUUGAGUUACGACGGCGAUGAGCUGCUCCACGAGUACCGUCUCACGUAAUUGCCCAGCUCGGGAAAGACUCAAGACCUCUGGACUGGUCUAAUUUGCUGGUUGGAUAUUCGUCACCCUCUUUGUAACUCAAGAAACUACUAGAAAAUGAGAUAGGAACAUGAUUUGAAACCAGUUAUGUCGAGCCAUAAGCAAGCUUGAGAGUGAUCGAUGUAAAUUGUUUGGCUUUCAGCAUUUUAUUAAAAAAUGGAUUUCCCAAAAUCGAAACCUGAUGCGAUGGCCAACAGUGUUGAAUUUAUUUAAUAAAAAAUUCAUCAAUAUAAAAAUUAGAAUGUAAUCCGGCUGUUUUCGAGGUGUGAUUUCUGAAUCCCUCAAUUUUAUGAAUUUUAAAGAAUGCGUCAAUCAGGGAAUGCUCCGUGUGUAAUGAAGUAUUCCAGGAGUAGCUUAUCGUAUCAAUUAGAACAAAGCAAUUUAAAUAACUACGUGUACACCAGUAUCUUACUGACGUCAGAGUAAGGCCUGAGUCAAAAUCUAAGACGAUGCAGAUACAACUGAGGCGGACGCGUCAGCUAGCCACGCCGUCGGCUGUGAAAGAGGAAGACAGCCGCCGGGUGAGAUGUUUCCCGCAGCACAAGCGGUAUGGGCGAUUCGAGAAAGCACGAAUGCCCUCGAGUCUGCUCCCUAUAAAUGCUUACUCAGGCAUCUCUGUGUUUCUCAAGUUAAUAUCGGCCUUGCAUUACAACGAGCGAGCGACAACAACAGAGCAAAGAUGACGAGCACAGCUGGUCAGGUCAUCAAGUGCAAAGGUUCGUCCCUUCUGCCGUUUGUUGGUGUUUCAUUCUUUUGUUGCCUCAAGGAGACGGAGCUCAGUUUUCCCCCAAUUUUGAGUGGGGGCACAUGGGUUCUUCCGGUCUUCGUGAUACCUGGAGGGGGACAGAAAAUACCCUUCUGCUUGGCAAAGGCUGCAAAUUUAUCCUUACUUCUCUGGCCUGAUGUUGCAGCGGCGGUUGCCUGGGAGGCGGGGAAGCCGCUGGUUAUCGAAGAGGUGGAGGUGGCUCCGCCGCAGGCCAUGGAGGUCCGCGUGAAGAUCCUCUUCACCUCCCUCUGCCACACCGACGUCUUCUUCUGGGAGGCCAAGGUACGGAUUUCCUCCAUAGUAUCUCCGACAGACGGCGAUCCCCGGAAGAUCUCUCGGUCGAUGGAGCGCGGUGAUUGACGUGGUCUGGCUAUGGUGGCAUUGCAGGGUCAGACACCCGUGUUCCCCCGAAUUUUGGGCCACGAAGGAGCAGGGUACGCCUCCACCUUUCAAUUCCUCUCGCUUCCUCGGUCUCCCCGAAUAGUCUUCUUCUUUCUCUUCAUCAGUCUCCCCAUAUGGACUUAAACUUCGGCGUACUGGUGUUGAUGGUGAGCAGGGUCGUGGAGAGCGUGGGAGAAGGCGUGACGGAUCUGCAGCCGGGAGACCACGUGCUCCCGGUGUUCACGGGAGAGUGUAAGGAGUGCGACCACUGCAAAUCGGAGGAGAGCAACAUGUGCAGCCUGCUGAGGAUCGACCCUGACNNNNNNNNNNNNNNNNNNNNCGGCGUACUGGUGUUGAUGGUGAGCAGGGUCGUGGAGAGCGUGGGAGAAGGCGUGACGGAUCUGCAGCCGGGAGACCACGUGCUCCCGGUGUUCACGGGAGAGUGUAAGGAGUGCGACCACUGCAAAUCGGAGGAGAGCAACAUGUGCAGCCUGCUGAGGAUCGACCCUGACCGGGGCGUGAUGAUCGGAGACGGGAAGGCGAGGUUCUCCAUCAACGGGAAGCCCAUCUACCAUUUUCUCGGCACCUCCACCUUCAGCGAGUACACGGUGGUGCACGUGGGCUGCCUGGCGAAGAUAAACCCGUUGGCUCCCCUGGAAACGGUCUGCG
rnacentral:lncRNA from 1 species